UGGCGACCGGCGCACGGGUGAGUAACGCGUAUGCAACCUGCCCGAUACCGGGGUAUAGCCCAUGGAAACGUGGAUUAACACCCCAUAGUACCUUUAUCCUGCAUGGGAUGUGAGUUAAAUGUUCAAGGUAUCGGAUGGGCAUGCGCCCUAUUAGUUAGUUGGCGGGGUAACAGCCCACCAAGACGAUGAUAGGUAGGGGUUCUGAGAGGAAGGUCCCCCACAUUGGAACUGAGACACGGUCCAA
rnacentral:rRNA from 1 species